AUGGGAUGUGGAACCAGGGCCCAAACCCAUCCAGUGUCCUGCUGCUCUCCAAGCUGUGCUGGGGCUCAGGGAGCUGCUCUGAGGUGCUCCAUGCUGGGGCUGGGGGCUGUGCUGGGGAGGGGGUCCAUGGUGGUCCAUGCUAGGGAUGAUCCGUGGUCCAUGGUGGUCCAUGCUGGGAAUUCUGGAAUGUGCUGGGGCAGUGGGUCCAUGGUGGUCCAUGCUAGGGAUGAUCCGUGGUCCAUGGUGGUCCAUGCUGGGAAUUCUGGAAUGUGCUGGGGCAGUGGGUCCAUGGUGGUCCAUGCUAGGGAUGAUCCGUGGUCCAUGGUGGUCCAUGCUGGGAAUUCUGGAAUGUGCUGGGGCAGUGGGUCCAUGGUGGUCCAUGCUAGGGAUGAUCCGUGGUCCAUGGUGGUCCAUGCUGGGAAUUCUGGAAUGUGCUGGGGCAGUGGGUCCAUGGUGGUCCAUGCUAGGGAUGAUCCGUGGUCCAUGGUGGUCCAUGCUGGGAAUUCUGGAAUGUGCUGGCGCAGUGGGUCCAUGGUGGUCCAUGCUAGAGAUGAUCCGUGGUCCAUGGUGGUCCGUGCUGGGAAUUCUGGAAUGUGCUGGGCGGGGCUGAUGGUCCUUGCUGGGCUGGUGGUCCAUGCUGGGAAUUCUGGAAUGUGCUGGGGCAGUGGUCCAUGGUGGUCCAUGCUAGAGAUGACUCAUGAUUGUGCCAAACAAUUGCAAAUAAUGCAUGCUAUAUAUACUAAAAUUAUGCAAGUAUAAAUUAAUUAAUUUCCAACCGAACAUUUUUAGCACUGUGCAAAAUUAGAUGUGCAGAAAAAAAAAAAUUACCAAAGAUGUCAUUUUUCUCUCUGAACAUUUAUAGGCAAUAAAUAAAGAUUUGAUAACUUUUCUCACGUAUCACUUAUAGUAACAUUUAGCAUUGCAUAAAAACCCUAUGAAAUAUUAUCCAUCAUAUUGUAGUGAUGGAAGUACCUACUGUGGGACCAGUGGUCCAUGGUGAUCCAGGCUGGGAAUACUGGAAUUUGCUGGGGCAGAGCUCCAUGCUGGAGGCAGUGGUCCAUGCUGGGGGCAGUGCUCCACGGUAGUCCGUGCUGGGAAUACUGGUCCAGCCCUGCACCCCCAGCCCGUUUCUCCCCUCGCAGUGGGGAUGUGCCAAACCCGGCCGAGCCUGGAUUACAGAAUGCUGGAAUAAAUAUCCUGAGCUGCGAGGGACCCGUAGGGAACUCCCGGCCCUGCAGACACCCCAAAAAUCCCACCCUGAGCAUCCCUGAGAGCGGCGGCUCCGGAUGGCGGCUCCUGCAGCCGGCCGUGCCCCGA
rnacentral:lncRNA from 1 species